GAGCUUUGGCGUCGGGAGAACGAGAGGAACGUCACGACGUUCUAAUUAAUAUUCAUGAGGCGAGGCCUCUGCGUAAAAGGAACGUCAGCGCGGUCUGAUUGACGUUCGAACGAAACGAAGGAAAUAAACUCAAUGCGACCCGAAGUCCUCGGAACCACAGGCUUCAUCAGGAAUAGGACCUUUAGUCAAUUACUUGUCUGCUGACGUUUCUCUGGGAAAAGCUUUAUUGAAAGUGGAUUAGAGUAAGUCUCGCGUCCACCUUCUUAAGUGAAAGAAAAGAACAACUGCCUGAUCUACUUUCUCAAGGGUCCAACUCAGUUCCAAAUCUUCAAGAAGCUGUCCCAUGAGCCAGUGCAAACACACAUGCCAUCUGGUGGUACUCCGGUGCAGCUCACCCUGUUGUCAUGGCCGGACAACACGCCUGCGGGAGAAAAGAGAAGGAAAAAUUGGCUACAUAGAAAAGAGCUGCUCGGUGGAGUUGCCAAGACGACCACUGAGCGCUUUGACUUGCUUCAAAUGGACUUUGUUCCUGCUUGAUCAGCAUUAAUGAUUCACUACAUCUUCGACUCCUUUCUUUCAACU